AUGUGGGGCACUGCCCUCCCUGGCUCUGCCUGGGGCCCCAGCCUGCUCUGCUGUGUCACUGUCUUUCUCCUGGGAACAAGUUCAGCAAAUUCCGGGGUCAUCCAGUUUCCAAGACACAUAAUCAAAGCAAAGGGAGGAAGGUCCUUUGUGAAAUGUACUCCCAUCUCUGGACAUGACACUGUGUUCUGGUACCAACAGACUCUAGGGCAGGAACUGAAGUUCCUCAUUCAGCAUUUUGAAAAAAUGGAAAGAGCAAAAGGAAACAUACCCAACCGAUUCUCAGUCCAGCAGUUCAGUGACUAUCACUCUGAGAUGAACAUGAGCGCCUUGCAGCUGGAGGACUCAGCUGUGUACUUCUGUGCCAGCUCACCACAGCCUCACAGAGUCACAGGCUUUCUGUCCCUUAAUCUUCCUGCUCUUGUUGAUGAUGUACUAAAGAGGGUGGAGAAAUACUACAUAGCUUCCUUAGCCAAGGCACAAGAGUGA